rnacentral:rRNA from 1 species
GACGAACGCUGGCGGCGUGCUUAACACAUGCAAGUCGAACGGAAAGGCCCUGCUUUUGUGGGGUGCUCGAGUGGCGAACGGGUGAGUAACACGUGAGUAACCUGCCCUUGACUUUGGGAUAACUUCAGGAAACUGGGGCUAAUACCGGAUAGGAGCUCCUGCUGCAUGGUGGGGGUUGGAAAGUUUCGGCGGUUGGGGAUGGACUCGCGGCUUAUCAGCUUGUUGGUGGGGUAGUGGCUUACCAAGGCUUUGACGGGUAGCCGGCCUGAGAGGGUGACCGGCCACAUUGGGACUGAAAUACGGCCCAGCCUCCUACGGGAGGCAGCAGUGGGGAAUAUUGCACAAUGGGCGGAAGCCUGAUGCAGCAACGCCGCGUGCGGGAUGACGGCCUUCGGGUUGUAAACCGCUUUCGCCUGUGACGAAGCGUGAGUGACGGUAAUGGGUAAAGAAGCACCGGCUAACUACGUG